rnacentral:rRNA from 1 species
AUGCUCCCGUGGGCGACGGCGGCGGAGGCCGAGGCGGCGCUGGGCCGCGCCAUGACGGCCGCGGAGGCGCUGUGGUUCCGGUGCACCGCGGAGACGUCCGACUACUACCUCUAUUGCCUCAACAUCCUCUUCCUCCUCGUCGUCUUCACGCUCGCGCCGCUCCCCGUCGCGCUCCUCGAGCUCCGCGCGCCGCGGGCCGUCGGGCCGUACAAGCUGCAGCCCCGGGUGCGCCUCUCGCGUGCCGAGUUCCUCAAGUGCUACGGGGACGUCAUGCGCAUCUUCUUCCUCGUCAUCGGCCCGCUACAGCUCGUCUCCUACCCCGCCGUCAAGAUGGUGGGAAUCCACACCGGACUGCCAUUGCCGUCUCUGGGGGAGAUGGCCGCACAGCUGCUGGUCUACUUCCUGGUUGAGGACUACCUCAACUACUGGAUCCAUCGGCUGCUGCACGGUGAGUGGGGCUAUGAGAAGAUCCACCGGAUCCACCAUGAGUACACCGCGCCCAUUGGCUUUGCCGCGCCAUACGCACACUGGGCAGAGGUUCUCAUACUCGGCAUCCCCUCCUUCGCUGGGCCAGCCAUUGCACCAGGCCACAUGAUAACAUUCUGGCUCUGGAUUAUACUUCGUCAGAUGGAAGCCAUUGAUACACACAGCGGUUUUGAUUUCCCAUUCAGCCUGACAAAGUAUAUUCCAUUCUAUGGAGGAGCAGAAUACCAUGAUUAUCAUCACUACGUUGGAGGCCAAAGCCAGAGCAAUUUUGCUUCCGUUUUCACGUACUGUGAUUACCUAUAUGGGACCGACAGAGGUUACAGAUUCCACAAAGCUUACUUAGCAAAGUUGAAGGAUCUGGCGCCAAGCGACGGCGAGAAAGGUGCCGACGGAUUCGCUUACGCGAAGUUGGAUUAG